UACGUAGGGUGCGAGCGUUAAUCGGAAUUACUGGGCGUAAAGCGUGCGCAGGCGGUUUUGUAAGCCAGAUGUGAAAUCCCCGGGCUUAACCUGGGAAUGGCAUUUGGGACUGCAAGGCUGGAGUGUGGCAGAGGAGACUGGAAUUCCUGGUGUAGCAGUGAAAUGCGUAGAUAUCUGGAGGAACACCGGUGGCGAAGGCGGCAUCCUGGACCGAUAUUGACGCUGAGGCGCGAAAGCCAGGGGAGCAAACGGG
rnacentral:rRNA from 1 species